rnacentral:rRNA from 1 species
GACGAACGCUGGCGGCGUGCUUAACACAUGCAAGUCGAACGGUGAAGCACCUUCCUUUUGGUGGGUGUGGAUGAGUGGCGAACGGGUGAGUAACACGUGAGUAACCUGCCCCCUUCUUCUGGAUAACCGCAUGAAAGUGUGGCUAAUACGGGAUAUUCUGGGUCUGUCGCAUGGCGGGCCUGGGAAAGAUAUUGUUUCGGUGGGGGAUGGGCUCGCGGUCUAUCAGCUUGUUGGUGGGGUGAUGGCCUACCAAGGCGGUGACGGGUAGCCGGCCUGAGAGGGUGGACGGUCACACUGGGACUGAGACACGGCCCAGACUCCUACGGGAGGCAGCAGUGGGGAAUAGUGCACAAUGGGCGCAGGCCUGAUGCAGCGACGCCGCGUGAGGGAUGGAGGCCUGCGGGUUGUAAACCUCUUUCGCCAGUGAAGCAGGCCUGUCCCUUUUGUGGGUGGGUUGACGGUAGCUGGAUAAGAAGCGCCGGCUAACUACGUG